GUAGGUAUCUGGGAAAAAAAAAUGGCUGAGGAUAUAGUUGACUGUGGAGAUGCAAAGUACAAGCCCCAGUAAUACACAGUGAAAAACUAAAAGAUGACACAUGGAUAAAAGGAUUCAUAAAUACUUAGAUAAAAAUAAUAAAAUAAAUAAGUAGCCACUGAUUUACUUAGUAUGAAGAAAAAAUUAAGUCAUCGAGUCUUCUUAUUAGAGGGGAGACACAGGUUGUGGAACCCCAAGACAUGAGCUCACUUCCUUGGCAACAUCUCCAAACAGAACUUGGAACCCUUGCUAACGGGCAUCACAAUCUAGUAACUGCCAUCUCCCGAGCUCACUUGGCUGGAGACCGUCAGCAGCAAACAUGCUGAGCUGCUUCUCCACUUUGAGAGGCCUCACCCUCAGGACUCCAGGCAGAGAAAGUAUCUGUGAAAGAUUAAGAAGAUGGCUGACUCCAUGCAGGCACUGCAGGCCACACUGCAGCAGCCACACAACUGUCACAGACACCCCAGGGAAGGUCUCCCCAGAAGUGACCACUAGUGACCUACCAAAAUCAAGGGAUCAAACUCUGGACCUUGUACAAAGCAAGCAGCAGAACCACUGAGCUAAAUCCCCACCCCUCCGAUGUGUGCUUUAGCAUGUGCCAUCUACCAUAAGCUCAGUACUUAACAGAGCUGAGUUGACACCAGCAUCAUGCCCUUGAACCUCCAGUACUGUGGCAUAAUAAACUUCCUUCUUUUCUUUGUAAAAUUAGCCUGCUUCAGGCACUGUAUUUUGUUGUAAUAAAAGAAAACAUUCUAAGACAUUGGUU
rnacentral:lncRNA from 1 species